rnacentral:tRNA from 1 species
GGGCAAUUAGCUCAAUUGGCAGAGCACUCCUUUGACGGGAGGGGUUAUAGGUUCAAGUCCUAUAUUGCCCA